GUAGGUGGCAAGCGUUGUCCGGAAUUAUUGGGCGUAAAGCGCGCGCAGGCGGUUCUUUAAGUCUGAUGUGAAAGCCCACGGCUCAACCGUGGAGGGUCAUUGGAAACUGGAGAACUUGAGUACAGAAGAGGAAAGCGGAAUUCCACGUGUAGCGGUGAAAUGCGUAGAGAUGUGGAGGAACACCAGUGGCGAAGGCGGCUUCCUGGUCUGUAACUGACGCUGAGGCGCGAAAGCGUGGGGUAGCAAACAGGGAUUAGAUACCCUGGUAGUCCACGCCGUAAACGAUGAGUGCUAAGUGUUAGGGGGGUUUCCGCCCCCGUUAGUGCUGCAGCUAACGCAUUAAGCACUCCGCCUGGGGAUACGGCCGCAAGGCUG
rnacentral:rRNA from 1 species